CUCCUCCUCAGCCUUAUCUGUAAAUGCUUUCCCUUUCUGCCUGUUUACAAGUACAAUCCUGUGGCAGAUCGUACUACUGGAAAGGGACCCCCCUUUGUGGCUCUGCCUGAGGUUUCUUCUGUUUUUCUCUUUGUUAGUAUCGACUUUCUAUACAGACAGAGAGUGUUGUAUGCUGGACUGAUUGUAAACACUCUCAAGAUCUUUUUGUGACUUUUUGUGACAACACAUAUGCAUGUAACCACAUGAGUACAAAUAUUUUCUCUGAUGCAUCAGACAGUGAAGCUGAUUUAAAACAGAGGUGUGCUGAAUUUUUGUUUAUUUCUAUGUAUUUUAGCAGUUCCCUAAUAAAAUGUAAAUGAAACAAGU